CAGGUGGUGCAUGGUUGUCGUCAGCUCGUGUCGUGAGAUGUUGGGUUAAGUCCCGCAACGAGCGCAACCCUUAAGCUUAGUUGCCAUCAUUAAGUUGGGCACUCUAGGUUGACUGCCGGUGACAAACCGGAGGAAGGUGGGGAUGACGUCAAAUCAUCAUGCCCCUUAUGAUUUGGGCUACACACGUGCUACAAUGGACAAUACAAAGGGCAGCUAAACCGCGAGGUCAUGCAAAUCCCAUAAAGUUGUUCUCAGUUCGGAUUGUAGUCUGCAACUCGACUACAUGAAGCUGGAAUCGCUAGUAAUCGUAGAUCAGCAUGCUACGGUGAAUACGUUCCCGGGUCUUGUACACACCGCCCGUCACACCACGAGAGUUUGUAACACCCGAAGCCGGUGGAGUAACCAUUUAUGGAGCUAGCCGUCGAAGGUGGGACAAAUGAUUGGGGUGAAGUCGUAACAAGGUAGCCGUAUCGGAAGGUGCGGUUGGAUCACCUC
rnacentral:rRNA from 1 species